rnacentral:rRNA from 1 species
AGCGUAGGCGGAUUUUUAAGUGAGAUGUGAAAUACUCGGGCUUAACCUGAGUGCUGCAUUUCAAACUGGAAGUCUAGAGUGCAGGAGAGGAGAAGGGAAUUCCUAGUGUAGCGGUGAAAUGCGUAGAGAUUAGGAAGAACACCAGUGGCGAAGGCGCUUCUCUGGACUGUAACUGACGCUGAGGCUCGAAAGUGUGGGAGCAAACA